UGUAAUCUAUAGAAAUGUUUUCCGUGCUGGCUCAUGUACAAGUCCCUUGGAACAGGGCGUCAUAGAGGGUGAGAAUCCCGUACUUGACAUGAAUAACCAGUGCUCUGUGAUACAUUUUCAAAGAGUCGAGUUGUUUGGGAAUGCAGCUCAAAAUGGGUGGUAAAUUCCAUCUAAAGCUAAAUAUUGGCGAGAGACCGAUAGCGAACAAGUACCGUGAGGGAAAGAUGAAAAGCACUUUGGAAAGAGAGUUAAACAGUAUGUGAAAUUGUUAAAAGGGAAACGAUUGAAGUCAAUCAUGUCCUUGGGUCUUACCACCCUUGGAUGGGGUCAACAUCAGUUUUGAUCGGUGGAUAAGGAUAGGAGGAAGGUAGCACUCUCGGGUGAACUUAUAGCCUCCUGUCGCAUACACUGGUUGAGACUGAGGUCUGCUAUUACAGGAUGUUGACAUAAUGGCUUUAAACGACCCGUCUUGAA
rnacentral:rRNA from 1 species